GACGUAGGAGGCGAGCGUUGUCCGGAUUCAUUGGGCGUAAAGAGCACGCAGGCGGUUUGGCAAGUCGGGAUGUGAAAACCAGGAGCUCAACUCCUGGCCUGCAUCCGAUACUGCCCGACUAGAGGUAGGUAGGGGAGAUCGGAAUUCCUGGUGUAGCGGUGAAAUGCGCAGAUAUCAGGAGGAACACCGGUGGCGAAGGCAGCCCCCUGGGUCAAGACUGACGCUCAUGCACGAAAAGCGUGGGGGAGCAAAACAGG
rnacentral:rRNA from 1 species